rnacentral:rRNA from 1 species
GAUGAACGCUGGCGGCGUGCCUAAUACAUGCAAGUCGAGCGAUCAGACUUGGUGCUUGCUCCUCUUUCGUUAGCGGCGAACGGGUGAGUAACACGUGGAUAACCUACCUUUAAGACUGGGACAACUUCGGGAAACGGGUGCUAAUACCGCAUAACAACUUUAACCAUAUGGUUUAAUUUUGAAAGACGGUUUUGCUGUCCCUUAUAGUGGUAUCCGCUUCGCUUUAGCUAGUUGGUAAGGUAAAGGCUUACCAAGGCAAUGAUGCAAAGACGACCUGAGAGGGGGAUCGGACACAUUGGGACGGAGACACGGCCCAAACUGCUACGGGAGGCAGCAGUAGGGAAUAGUUGGCAAGGGACGAAAGGCUGACAGAGCAACGCCGAGAGGGGGAAGAAGGGUGUCGGAUCGAAAAACUAUGUGGGUAGAGAAGAACGUUGGUGAGAGUGGAAAGCACAUCAAGUGACGGUAACGAGCCAGAAAGGGACGGCUAACUACGUG